rnacentral:rRNA from 1 species
GCAAACGCAUUAAGCACUCCGCCUGGGGAGUACGACCGCAAGGUUGAAACUCAAAGGAAUUGACGGGGGCCCGCACAAGCGGUGGAGCAUGUGGUUUAAUUCGAAGCAACGCGAAGAACCUUACCAGGUCUUGACAUCCUUUGACCACUCUAGAGAUAGAGCUUUCCCUUCGGGGACAAAGUGACAGGUGGUGCAUGGUUGUCGUCAGCUCGUGUCGUGAGAUGUUGGGUUAAGUCCCGCAACGAGCGCAACCCUUAUUGUUAGUUGCCAUCAUUUAGUUGGGCACUCUAGCGAGACUGCCGGUGACAAACCGGAGGAAGGUGGGAGAUGACGUCAAAUCAUCAUGCCCCUUAUGACCUGGGCUACACACGUGCUACAAUGGGUAAGUACAACGAGUCGCUAGACCGCGAGGUCAUGCAAAUCUCUUAAAGCUUCUCUCAGUUCGGAUUGCAGGCUGCAACUCGCCUGCAUGAAGCCGGAAAGUCGCUAGUAAUCGCGGAUCAGCACGCCGCGGUGAAUACGUAGGUCCCGGGCCUUGUACACACCUGCCCGUCACACCACGAGAGUUUGUAACACCCGAAGUCUGGUGAGGUAACCUUUGGCUCAAUUGGAGCCAGCCGCCUGAAGGUGGGAUAGAUGA